rnacentral:rRNA from 1 species
CCUACGGGAGGCAGCAGUGGGGAAUAUUGGGCAAUGGGCGAAAGCCUGACCCAGCAACGCCGCGUGAAGGAAGAAGGCUUUCGGGUUGUUAACUUCUUUUGACAGGGAAGAGCAGAAGACGGUACCUGUCGAAUAAGCCACGGCUAACUACGUGCCAGCAGCCGCGGUAAUACGGAGGAUGCGAGCGUUAUCCGGAUGUAUUGGGUUUAAAGGGUGCGCAGGCGGCCUGUUAAGUCAGCGGUAAAAGCCCGGGGCUCAACCCCGGCGAGCCGUUGAAACUGGCGGGCUGGAGUUGGAGAGAAGUACGCGGAAUGCGCGGUGUAGCGGUGAAAUGCUUAGAUAUCGCGCAGAACCCCGAUUGCGAAGGCAGCGUACCGGCUCCACACUGACGCUGAGGCACGAAAGCGUGGGUAUCGAACAGGAUUAGAUACCCCUGUAGUC